ACACACACACACACACACACCUCAUACAACGCCACCGCCAAAGGACGCAAGGCCAGCAAGUGAAAUACAGACUAGCACACACACCUAUACACAAUUCUACCGUCAAAGGCCGCAAGGCCAUUAAGUGACUUGUACAACACACACACACACACACACACACACACAAACACACAAACAAACAUAUACACCUCUACCGUCAAAGGCCGCAAGGCCAUUAAGUGACUUGUACAACACACACACACACACACACACACACAGCGCCAAGGCCAAGAUGGCCAGCAAGUGACUUGCUCUUUUCUCUUUUGCUCUAGUAGAACUGUUUUAUGAUUGUUUUUUUAAUCAGUUUUAUUUUGAUCACUGUGUCUAUUGCGUUAGCCUUAUCAAAUCUCUUAAUGUUAUCGUUAUCUCUUCAAAUCCAGCGUUCACAUCAUGGAAAAUGACUUCCUGUUCCUCUUCAAAUCGAGUUAGCAAAGCGCUAAGUGGCAUUAGCAGUCUUCACCCUUCCCCCGUCGCCAUGGAGACUGGAAUCCUUUUGCACUGAGUCAUUGGUUCAUGAGUCCUCUUGUCCUGGGAUGUCAUUGGCUGCAGGCCAACCACACUAACCAAUCACAUGCCGUGAUACUCAUACUUCCCUAAUGUCUUAAGGCAACCUAAGCUCUCAGGCUCUCUGCAUUUAUGAAGCACUGGAGUCAGUAUGACCCAUUAGAGGCCGUUCCUGUACACACCCCAUACACACACACACACACACACAGUAUGACGCCACAGCUUCCUGUGAUAACCAACACUUGACACGAGUGCUUAACAUGUCAGCACCACCUGAACUCAGAGAAACAGCGCGCAGAUACGAUACGACUAGCUGUCCUCACGCCGAAUGAUCCGAAGGAAUCACCUGUCGACAGGUGAUUCAGACCAAGGUAAAUGACUACCUGUCGACAGGUGAUUCAGACCAAGGUAGAUGACUACCUAUGGACAGGUGAUUCAGACCAAGGUAAAUGACUACCUGUCGACAGGUGAUUCAGACCAAGGUAAAUGACUACCUGUCGACAGGUGAUUCAGACCAAGGUAAAUGACUACCUGUCGACAGGUGAUUCAGACCAAGGUAGAUGACUACCUAUGGACAGGUGAUUCAGACCAAGGUAGAUGACUACCUGUGCACGUAUAACUGAGUCACAUACCUCACCUGUGAAAAGGUAGUUAAACUUGGAGGUGUUGAAGAGAUGGAGGCGCUUACACCUUUUCUCAGGUGAUUCAAACGUAGCUUACCUUUUGCACAGGUAACGGAGAGUGCCGCCUGUGUGUCGACAUUCACACAGGGUCACCUAGAGUGGCGUCUGCCUGUUUAUUGCCUUCUUCCUCGCGUACCCCGCCGGAUCAAUCUAUAGAAUUGCUACCCCCACCUGCGUCCAGGUAACUACAACAGGUCUCUAGAAGUACAUCUGUGUGCAGGUGAUUGAUUGAGCCACAGCUCUGGGAGAGCAGGUGUAUGUAUGCAGAUGAUCUGUAAUACUGUGUCAACAUGUUCAUUAUUAAACUCCAUUCACUCACUAACUGAGGCAGGUUUGGUUUAUUGUGUGAAAAAAAAGAUGGUUUUACAUUAAUAAUGUUGUCAUUAAUGCUUUCAGUGUUGGUAUUGCAUUUCCCCAACAUACACAUUUUCAUAAGUUGCCUCUGGAACACACAUUUCUAGAUGACUUUAAUACGAUCAACGGUGAUUUAAAACACACUUCUAGAUCACUUUAAUACGUUCAGCUGUGAUUUAAAACACACUUCUGUCACUUUAAUAGGUUCAGCGGUGAUUUAAAAACACACUUCUAGAUCACUUUAAAAGUAACAGUAUGUAGCAAUUGUACUUCAGGG
ensembl:lncRNA